GUAACGACCCGGAAACCGGACCGCUACCGGCGCUAGGAUUCAGGUCGGCUUAAGGCCGCCGGAACCCGUAGCAAGCCAAACAUACAUCCUGUGAACCUGUUUAAUCCCAUACAUGAACCAAAACAUACAUAAAAAUUAAAACUUUUCUUUCAUUCAAACAUUUCUUUACCCAGCCUAGCCUGUGCAUGCAUAACCAUAACAUAAACCCCUCAUUGGAGUUCUCAACAAAUACUCCAAUGGGGUACAUAACAUAUAUCAGGCUUGGGUUACAUAAACAUCAUAAAACAUUUACUUCAUGUAUUUAAGGGAUUACAACAGACUCUAGUCAAGCACACUAUAAAACUUACAUUACAUUACAUAACAUACUUUUACAUUAAGAAUAAACCAUGUCCACAGCUAUGCUAUUACAUAACCUCCUCUUACUCUUCUGACUUCUCUAUCUACACGGUACCUGCAAGACUGGGGUUAGGGGAGAGGGGUGAGCUAAAAAGCCCAGUGAGCAAAAAGUAAAAA
rnacentral:lncRNA from 1 species